rnacentral:lncRNA from 1 species
AUGUAUUUGUUUUCAGCCUUGGUUGUAGGUGAAACCAGGACAGGCAGGACAGGAGGCUGCAGCAGCCAAGAAUUUGUCUCGGUUAUGAGAGCUGUUUCAGGGGGAAAGAAGAAAAAGGUAAUACUGGAACUCCUCCUUCAUUUUGGACUGUAUAGCUCAGACCUGCUGUGGAGGUACUGCACACAGCACUGCUGCUGUGCCUGGGUUUUUAUGAAGUCAUUGGAAAGAUUUAAUUAAAACUGUUUUCUAGAUUUCAUCUUCUGCAGGAAUGGUCUUUUAAAGAUUCUACCUCUGGGGUAUUGUUUAUCCAAUUUAAGGUAUUGAAAUGCAGAAUAUUAUUCUGGUGUAUUUAUUCUGUGGAAAUCUAGACUUAAUUUUUUUCCUAAACAGUUUGCCAUUAUGUGGAGGAGGCACAGUCCAUGUUCUGCAACUGCUGUGAGAGUGAGAUUGAAAUGAGUUUGAUUUGUUGCUGCAUUUUAUCUAAAGCCUGCAGGUAUCUUGGCUUCAUUGUAUCUAAUACCAUAAGUAUUUAUUGUUUUUCU